rnacentral:misc_RNA from 1 species
AAGUCGUAACAAGGUUUCCGUAGGUGAACCUGCGGAAGGAUCAUUAAUAGAAAUAAAACCCUGCUUUAAGGAGUGAUCCUUGAGGUAGGUGAGAGGGUUGGUAACCUCUCAAUCUUGUAGCUUUUUUUGCUCUGGUCUACAAGUUAAAAAAAGAAAGCUGUAAUUGAGGACAGUGUCCAAUGUUGCAGACCACUCUUAUAUUAAUGUUAUACAAAAUCUAUAACAACUUUUGACAAUGGAUCUCUUGGCUCUCUA